rnacentral:rRNA from 1 species
AACGAACGCUGGCGGCAUGCCUAACACAUGCAAGUCGAACGGGAUCCUAGCUUGCUAGGUGAGAGUGGCGGACGGGUGAGUAACACGUGGGAAUCUGCCUUUUGGUUCGGGAUAACCGCGGGAAACUGCGGCUAAUACCGAAUGCCCUCGAGAGAGGAAAGAUUUAUCGCCAGAAGAGGAGCCCGCGUCCGAUUAGGUAGUUGGUGGGGUAAAGGCCUACCAAGCCGACGAUCGGUAGCUGGUCUGAGAGGAUGAUCAGCCACACUGGGACUGAGAUACGGCCCAGACUCCUACGGGAGGCAGCAGUGGGGAAUAUUGGACAAUGGGGGCAACCCUGAUCCAGCAAUGCCGCGUGAGUGAUGAAGGCCUUAGGGUUGUAAAGCUCUUUUGCCAGGGAAGAUGAUGACUGUACCUGGAGAAUAAGCCCCGGCUAACUUCGUGCCAGCAGCCG